CCUACGGGUGGCAGCAGUGGGGAACAUUGCACAAUGGGCGCAAGCCUGGUGCAGCCAUGCCGCGUGUGUGAAGAAGGCCUUCGGGUUGUAAAGCACUUUCAGCGGGGAGGAAGGCGUUAAGGUUAAUAACCUUGUCGAUUGACGUUACCCGCAGAAGAAGCACCGGCUAACUCCGUGCCAGCAGCCGCGGUAAUACGGAGGGUGCAAGCGUUAAUCGGAAUUACUGGGCGUAAAGCGCACGCAGGCGGUCUGUCAAGUCGGAUGUGAAAUCCCCGGGCUCAACCUGGGAACUGCAUUCGAAACUGGCAGGCUAGAGUCUUGUAGAGGGGGGUAGAAUUCCAGGUGUAGCGGUGAAAUGCGUAGAGAUCUGGAGGAAUACCGGUGGCGAAGGCGGCCCCCUGGACAAAGACUGACGCUCAGGUGCGAAAGCGUGGGGAGCAAACAGGAUUAGAUACCCGUGUAGUC
rnacentral:rRNA from 1 species